UGGUGAUUGCUUCUCUGGAAAACUAU
rnacentral:piRNA from 1 species